UCAUUGAUUCAUUCAGCAAAGACAUUGGGCACCUGCCCCAGGCAGGGCCCUAUGCUGGGUUCCAAGAUUCAAAGAUGGCAAAGACACAAUCUUUGCUCACAAGGACGUUUCUCUGCUGUGUCCUUGCUCCCAAGGACCUCUUUCUUCUCACACCAGAGCUCACUAACCAUCCAGCAGGGGAGACAAGUACGUCAUCAAUAACUGCCAUGCCGCAUGCAAGAAACAAUAAUAGAAGCCUGGAGAGCAAGAGGUGGAAAAUAGAGAAGAUUUGGCCGCACCUGGGAAGGUCAAGGCCACCUGGAAAAAUGCAUGGUGUCUUCCAGGGUGAGCAGGAGUCUGCCAGGUGGGCCGGCAGAGGGAAUGCUGUGCGCCAGGGUACAGAAGCAUGAAGCUACAUGGCCAUGUGCUCCAAGAUCUGAUUUGGGAAAUAUGGCCAACAGUGUCAAGAUGUGCCUUUCCCCACUCACGCCAGCCCAGGCAUCCCUGACGCCUCCAAAUGCCUGUGACACUUACGAACCCAUGAGAUUUGUGUGGUGGUUAUAUUAUACAGCGAGUCCUUGAAUGGCUUGCUGCCUGCUGCUCCCGUGUGUCCCAUCUCCUCAAGGGGACUGUGAGUCAUCUGAGAAUAGAGGUUGUCUACUCCAUCUCUGUCCCUCUAGGACCCAGGUCAGUGCCUUUCUUGUGACUAUUAGGCAGGCAACAGACGUUUGUUGCGGGAAGUGUCCAAACGGACGACAGUGUCGGGACAUUGCUACUUUUGAGAUGUUGUGCCACAUGCGGACUUGUACAUUAUCUCAUUUAAUCCUCCCAAAAACCCUACGAAGUGGCUACUACGAGUCCCCAUUUUACAGAUGUAGCAACUGAGGCUUCGCGAGAUUACUUGCAGAUGAGAUACAGCUUCAUCCUGGUGAACUAGGAUUUGAAUACUGGGUGACUGGCCCAAGGACCGAUGCUUUUAGCUCUGACUCUACCCAACUUUACUGCCCUUGUUCAGUGCACUUAAUAAAACAGUAUGAAUUGGAGUUUUACAGACGGGCAUGUAAGUCCUAAGCUCUGACCAAAUUGUGGUUAUUUCUUCUCAUGGCUGCUGCCUAAGCCAUGGCUCCUAAAGCAUGUGCCUGUUCUGUCUUUGUAUCCCCACAACUAGCACGGCACCUAUUCUCCCAGGUUGGAGAAUAAGGGGACCAGGGAAUUGUCUGGGGGCAAUUCUGGAAGGACUCCUCGGAAGAGGCCAAGUUUCUUUGAGCCAAACUGGGAAGCUGGUGAGAGGCAAGACAGAAAGAAGGCCACUCCAAUGUAGCAGCUUGCUUCAUCAAAGCCCACAAGCCAAAGAGGCAGCAGAGAGAGAGAGUCUGACAGCAAGACGGAAGUGACCGUCUCUUGUAACCUAAUCUUAGAAACGGCAUCUGUCACCUUGGCCAUAUCCUACUCAUUAGAAUCAUCCAUGAGUGCCAGUUUCUGCUCUGCACAAAAGAACUAGGGCUACCGUCAAGUUCAUCACCAAGAAUUCCAGCAUUGGCUCCGGGUGACCUCUUCACAGGUAAAGGUCCAGUUCUCACCAGAUUUUUACAAAACUCUGAAAAGAGUUCACCACCAAGGGGCCCAAGGACCCCAGGCGAAGAAGUACUUCCCCAGAGACAUCAAGGGGCCCGUGAAAGUUUCUGUGGCUUGUGGUGGGGCCAGGACCGGGGCCAGGAGCCUGACUCCCAGGCCAGGCUUCCAGCAACCACACGACUUUGGUAGGAAUGGCUGGCACACACUGAGACACACUCACAAGGUGGCCGCCACCAAAUGCAGGUGUCCCAAAGCAAGGAUGCUGAGGGCUCAGCCCGGUGACAAACGGGUUCUCCUGGGGACUGCAGUGAGCAGCCGAAACCAAGCCUGAGACUGGAAAGGGGGAGGAGGUAACAGAUCGGUGCAGGGUGUUCCCGGAGAGUUGCAACAGGGGGACCUGUCUAUUCUGCCACCUGCCUGUGCUUUGUCUGACAUUAGAAUACUACCUCAUUUAUGCAGCCUGGGGUACUCUCACCCACUCUAGGAGGAUUCGGAUUAUUUCUCCCUGCACCUGCCUCUUCAAGGGGAUGAUGCCAGAGCGGGGGCUGGACCCCUGCACCUGGGGAUGAUAAAGGCAAGCGGGGGACCCUGGGAAAGCAGGGGCACAGAGGAUUCAGGAGGUCUGGAAUGGUGGCCUGGAGUACAAUCAGAGAAAAGAGCUGCAGGGCCCCAAGAGCUGUUCCCUGGAACU